CACUGUCACUCCUACGGGAGCAGCAGUGGGAAUCUUAGACAAUGGGCGCAAGCCUGAUCUAGCCAUGCCGCGUGAGUGACGAAGGCCUUAGGGUCGUAAAGCUCUUUCGCCAGAGAUGAUAAUGACAGUAUCUGGUAAAGAAACCCCGGCUAACUCCGUGCCAGCAGCCGCGGUAAUACGGAGGGGUUAGCGUUGUUCGGAAUUACUGGGCGUAAAGCGCACGUAGGCGGAUUGGAAAGUUGGGGUGAAAUCCCAGGGCUCAACCCUGGAACUGCCUCCAAAACUCCCAGUCUGGAGUUCGAGAGAGGUGAGUGGAAUUCCGAGUGUAGAGGUGAAAUUCGUAGAUAUUCGGAGGAACACCAGUGGCGAAGGCGGCUCACUGGCUCGAUACUGACGCUGAGGUGCGAAAGUGUGGGGAGCAAACAGGAUUAGAUACCCUGGUAG
rnacentral:rRNA from 1 species